AUUGAACGCUGGCGGCAGGCUUAACACAUGCAAGUCGAGCGGGGUGAUGGUGCUUGCACUAUCACUUAGCGGCGGACGGGUGAGUAAUGCUUAGGAAUCUGCCUAUUAGUGGGGGACAACAUCUCGCAAGGGAUGCUAAUACCGCAUACGUCCUACGGGAGAAAGCAGGGGAUCACUUUUGACCUUGCGCUAAUAGAUGAGCCUAAGUCGGAUUAGAUAUUUGGUGGGGUAAAGGCCUACUAAGGCGACGAUCUGUGGCGGGUUUGAGAGGAUGAUCCGCCACACUGGGACUGAGACACGGCCCAGACUCCUACGGGAGGCAGCAGUGGGGAAUAUUGGACAAUGGGCGAAAGCCUGAUCCAGCAAUGCCGCGUGAGUGAUGAAGGCCUUCGGGUUGUAAAGCCCUGUCGGAAGGAAAGAAAAAGCCAGCUAAUCACUGGUAUUGACGGUACCUUCAAAGGAAGCACCGGCUAACUCUGUGCCAGCCGCCGCGGUAA
rnacentral:rRNA from 1 species